rnacentral:tRNA from 1 species
GGAGGCGUGCCAGAGCGGCCGAAUGGGGCUCACUGCUAAUGAGUUGUCCCCUCAAAGGGACCGGAGGUUCAAAUCCUCUCGCCUCCG